rnacentral:rRNA from 1 species
GUGGUAAUGCCGGAUGCUCCAGUUGACCGCAUGGUCCUCUGGGAAAGCUUUUGCGGUAUGGGAUGGGGUCGCGUCCUAUCAGCUUGAUGGCGGGGUAACGGCCCACCAUGGCUUCGACGGGUAGCCGGCCUGAGAGGGCGACCGGCCACAUUGGGACUGAGAUACGGCCCAGACUCCUACGGGAGGCAGCAGUGGGGAAUAUUGCACAAUGGGCGCAAGCCUGAUGCAGCGACGCCGCGUGCGGGAUGACGGCCUUCGGGUUGUAAACCGCUUUUGACUGGGAGCAAGCCCUUCGGGGUGAGUGUACCUUUCGAAUAAGCACCGGCUAACUACGUGCCAGCAGCCGCGGUAAUACGUAGGGUGCAAGCGUUAUCCGGAAUUAUUGGGCGUAAAGGGCUCGUAGGCGGUUCGUCGCGUCCGGUGUGAAAGUCCAUCGCUUAACGGUGGAUCCGCGCCGGGUACGGGCGGGCUUGAGUGCGGUAGGGGAGACUGGAAUUCCCGGUGUAACGGUGGAAUGUGUAGAUAU